rnacentral:lncRNA from 1 species
UAUGCUUGAUAAACUUUUAUUUAACUUUGUUUUAGAAUACAGGUACAAUUUAUGGGAAACAAGUAAACUUAGAUCAUUUCAAAACAUUUUAUGCUUUCUCUUACAAUUUGAUCAUGAAAUCACUUUUCUGAAUUGAGAUUUCAUUGGUUUAUCUGCUUUAGUGUGCAGUUUGUUUGAAAGCUAGUAAUAUUAUGUUUCUUAGAGAUCUCAUAUGUACCUUUGCAAAACUGAACUGGGAUUUUAACAAAAACCUUGAUAUUGGGACUCUCAUCUCUGCUGUUGGAUAUCAACUCUGGCUUUUAACAACCAAGAUUCUCUCUUUAUAGGCCAAUUCUUUACAAGGAAUAAAUGGUUUUGGGCCAUUUUACAAGAGGGCUAACCACCCAAUCUCAUAUAUAUUUUUUUAAAUUAAUGACCCACAGUAGUGUUGUUCCUGCUUCCAUGUCCUGCCCUGGCCCAAUUGGCCAGAUGGAAGGACUCAAUGUGGGUGUCAUAUUGAAGGACUAAAUGUGGGUGUCCUAUGGAAAGACUCAAUAUGGGUGUCAUAUGGGGAAGGACUCAAUGUGGGUGUCAUAUUAAGGACUAAAUGUGGGUGUCCUAUGGAAGGACUCAAUGUGGGUGUCCUAUGGGGAAGGACUCAAUGUGGGUGUCAUAUGGGGAAGGACUCAAUGUGGGUGUCAUAUGGGGAAGGACUCAAUGUGGGUGUCAUAUGGGGAAGGACUCAAUAUGGGCAUCAUAUGGAAGGCUUUACAAGAGGGCUAACCACCCAAUCUCAUAUAUUUUUUUUAAAUCAAUAACCCACAGUAGUGUUGUUCCUGCUUCCAUGUCCUGCCCUGGCCCAGUUGGCCAGAUGGAACGACUCAAUGUGGGUGUCCUAUGGGGAAGGACUCAAUGUGGGUGUCAUAUUGAAGGACUCAAUGUGGGUGUCAUAUUAAAGGACUAAAUAUGGGUGUCCUAUGGAAGGACUAAAUAUGGGUGUCCUAUGGAAGGACUCAAUAUGGGUAUCAUAUGGAAGGACUCAAUGUAGGUGUUUUUCCUUGCUAAUGGGUAAAACCUGUUUUUCCUUGUAGUCAAAGAGUGGUUGCAAGACUGAUAUGAUGCUUAAAUAGAAAGAUUUUGAUCUGGUUGUCUUUUUCUUUCAACUGUGACUGGAUCCAGAGGAGGCAGAGAUGGGUCUGAUGGGAGUUCUAUGGGCCAUCAUUUCUACAAAAGGAAAUAUAGCACAAAUUAGAUAUUGAAAAGAGAUUGAACUUCCUAACUCCCAUCUCUGUCUACAUCAAUCAAAGUACAUUUCUGAACCCCCUACUCCUCACCUCUCUUACUGCCCCCCAUAUCAGAAAGCAUCUUAGUUGGCAUUUGAUUGUCACAAAUGUAACAAACUAAAAAAUCA